rnacentral:tRNA from 1 species
GAGGGUAUAGGUCAGUGGUAGAGCGCAUGUCUAGCAUCAUGAGGUCCUGGGUUCAACCCCAGUGCCUUCA